AGUGGCUUACAUCCUACACAACUUGUAUUCCUAUCAAUGGAUGCUAUUUGCUUCCUUUUCAUUUAUCAGCCCUUGCUUUCUAGACCUGAGCUGUCCAGUACAUUAGCCACUAGCCACAUGGGGCCGUUGAGCACUUGAAGUCUGGCUAGUCCAAAUUGAGAUGUGUUGUAUGUGUCAAACAAACAUUGGACUUCAAAGACUCAGUAAGGAAAAAAAUGUAAUCAUUAAUACUUUCAACAUUGAUUAUGUAUUAAAGUAUUUUAGAUCUAUUGGGUUAAGUCAAAUAGAUUAUUACAAUUAAUUUCAGCUUUUUCUCUCCUUCCUUCCUUCCCUCCCUCCCUCCUUUCUUUCUCUUUCCUUCUCUUCCCUUCUCUUCUCUUUUCUUUCUUUUCUUUCUUCAUCUCACUGUCUCCCAGGCUGAAGUACAGUGACACAAUCAUAGCUCACUACAGCCAGGAAUUCCUGGGCUCCAGUAAUCUUCCCACCUCAGGC
rnacentral:lncRNA from 10 species